GCUCGAGCUGAUCUAGCUAAGGGGUUAAAGAAGAAAUCCGCAUUUUUGUCCUUGUUUCUCCUCCGUUCGAAAAUGUAAAUUUACAGAUUGUUACAACACUGCCGUUGGUGCAUGGAGUGGAGGUGCUUGACAAGGAAGUCCACCAAUUUAUGAUGGGUCUCACCACUGUGGAGAAGGCUACAGCAGGAGCACCGGACAUUGUAAACCUCACCUGGAAGGGCUGUUUAGGGUCCUGAAUGGAGGUGAAUGGUUGGAUGUUCCAGUUAAC